rnacentral:rRNA from 1 species
UCUGCAAUGCGCGCAAGCGUGACAGAUUGAGUCAGAGUGCGCUUCAAUUUGGAGUGCUUUUGCCAAAUGUAAAAAGUUUGGCGAAUAAGGACUGGGUAAGACGAGUGCCAGCCGCCGCGGUAAUACUCGCGGUCCAAGUCGCAGCCAUUUUUAUUGGGUCUAAAACAUCCGUAGCUUGCUUGGUGAGUUCCUUGUGAAAUUCUAUAUCUCAAAUAUGGAGCGUGCAGGGAGUACUGCCAAGCUAGAGACUGGAAGACGUAACGAGUACGUUCGGAGUAGCGGUAAAAUGUGUUAAUCCCGGACGGACUAACAAUAGCGAAAGCACGUUACGAGGACAGUUCUGACAGUAAGGGAUGAAGGCUAGGGGCGCAAAACGGAUUA